UACAGAGGGUGCAAGCGUUAAUCGGAAUUAUUGGGCGUAAAGCGUGCGUAGGUGGUUCGGUAAGUCGGAUGUGAAAGCCCUGGGCUUAACCUGGGAAUUGCAUUCGAUACUGCUGGGCUAGAGUAUGGGAGAGGGAAGCGGAAUUUCCAGUGUAGCGGUGAAAUGCGUAGAUAUUGGAAGGAACACCAGUGGCGAAGGCGGCUUCCUGGCCUAAUACUGACACUGAGGCACGAAAGCGUGGGGAGCAAACAGG
rnacentral:rRNA from 1 species